rnacentral:rRNA from 1 species
UACGUAGGGUGCAAGCGUUGUCCGGAAUUAUUGGGCGUAAAGAGCUCGUAGGCGGUCUGUCGCGUCUGCUGUGAAAACUCAGGGCUUAACCCUGAGCUUGCAGUGGGUACGGGCAGACUAGAGUGCGGUAGGGGCAACUGGAAUUCUUGGUGUAGCGGUGAAAUGCGUAGAUAUCAAGAGGAACACCUGCGGCGAAGGCGGGUUGCUGGGCCGACACUGACGCUGAUGCGCGAAAGCUAGGGGAGCGAACGGG